GCCUGUGUGGUGCAGUGGUUUGAAUGUUGGACUAAGACUCUGGAGAGCAAGGUUCAAUUCCCUGCUUGGCCA